rnacentral:rRNA from 1 species
ACGCGAGAACUUACAACCCUUGACAUGCCCGUCGCGAGAUCCAGAGAUGGAUUUCUUCGGUUCGGCCGGACGGUGCACAGGUGCUGCAUGGCUGUCGUCAGCUCGUGUCGUGAGAUGUUGGGUUAAGUCCCGCAACGAGCGCAACCCCCGCCUUCAGUUGCCAUCAUUCAGUUGGGCACUCUGGAGGGACUGCCGGUGACAAGCCGGAGGAAGGUGGGGAUGACGUCAAGUCCUCAUGGCCCUUACGGGUUGGGCUACACACGUGCUACAAUGGCGGUGACAAUGGGAUGCGAAUGGGCGACCUGGAGCAAAUCCCAAAAAGCCGUCUCAGUUCGGAUUGCACUCUGCAACUCGAGUGCAUGAAGUUGGAAUCGCUAGUAAUCGCGCAACAGCAUGGCGCGGUGAAUACGUUCCCGGGUCUUGUACACACCG